UACGUAGGGAGCAAGCGUUGUCCGGAAUCAUUGGGCGUAAAGCGCGCGUAGGCGGCCCCGUAAGUCCGCUGUGAAAGUCAAAGGCUCAACCUUUGAAAGCAGGUGGAUACUGUGGGGCUAGAGUCCGGAAGAGGCGAGUGGAAUUCCUGGUGUAGCGGUGGAAUGCGCAGAUAUCAGGAGGAACACCAAUAGCGAAGGCAGCUCGCUGGGACGGUACUGACGCUAAGGCGCGAAAGCGUGGGAGCGAACAGG
rnacentral:rRNA from 1 species